UACGGGGGGGGGCAAGCGUUGUUCGGAAUUACUGGGCGUAAAGGGCUCGUAGGCGGCCAACUAAGUCAGACGUGAAAUCCCUCGGCUUAACCGGGGAACUGCGUCUGAUACUGGAUGGCUAGAGGUUGGGAGAGGGAUGCGGAAUUCCUGGUGUAGCGGUGAAAUGCGCAGAUAUCAGGAAGAACACCAAUGGCGAAGGCAGCUCUCUGGGACGGUACUGACGCUGAGACGCGAAAGCGUGGGGAGCGAACAGG
rnacentral:rRNA from 1 species